rnacentral:rRNA from 1 species
CCUACGGGUGGCAGCAGUCGAGAAUCAUUCACAAUGGGGGAAACCCUGAUGGUGCGACGCCGCGUGGGGGAAUGAAGGUCUUCGGAUUGUAAACCCCUGUCAUGUGGGAGCAAAUUAAAAAGAUAGUACCACACGAGGAAGAGACGGCUAACUCUGUGCCAGCAGCCGCGGUAAUACAGAGGUCUCAAGCGUUAUUCGGAAUCACUGGGCGUAAAGCGUGCGUAGGCUGUUUCGUAAGUCGUGUGUGAAAGGCGCGGGCUCAACCCGCGGACGGCACAUGAUACUGCGAGACUAGAGUAAUGGAGGGGGAACCGGAAUUCUCGGUGUAGCAGUGAAAUGCGUAGAUAUCGAGAGGAACACUCGUGGCGAAGGCGGGUUCCUGGACAGUAACUGACGCUGAGGCACGAAGGCCAGGGGAGCGAAAGGGAUUAGAUACCCUAGUAGUC